rnacentral:sRNA from 1 species
CAGCAACCCCGCUGACCUCUUCCACUGGCUGCCCAAGGAGCACAUGUGUGUGCUUGUCUACCUGGUGACUGUGAUGCACUCCAUGCAGGCCGGCUACCUGGAGAAGGCGCAGAAGUACACGGACAAGGCCCUCAUGCAGCUGGAGAAGCUCAAGAUGCUGGACUGCAGCCCCAUCCUGUCAUCCUUCCAAGUGAUCCUGCUGGAGCACAUCAUCAUGUGCCGCCUCGUCACGGGUCACAAGGCCACGGCGCUGCAGGAGAUCUCCCAGGUCUGCCAGCUGUGCCAGCAGUCCCCCCGGCUCUUCUCCAACCAUGCAGCACAGCUGCACACAUUGCUGGUGAGUAACCCUGUGACAGCACCCCAGGAGAAUCCGAAUGUUGUCAGUAAGUAAGUACCUAACCAGAUCCAGAACAUUCCCAGUGAAGGACCCCCUGACAGCACCCUAAUCAGAAUCCGGAAUGUUCCCAUAGGUAAUCAUAUAACCUUCCCAGGCAAGAUCCGGAAUGCUCCCAGUGAGCAUCUUGUCCCACCCCACAUUGGCUUGGGUCUGAAAGGUGGGGACAGUGAAGCAUAUUACCUGCCUUGCAGCUGGCUCGGUAGAGCCAUUGUCAUACUCCUCCAGGGCAGCCGUGCAGGCCCCGGGCACACCACGUGUCUCUGAUCUGAGCCCCCUCCCCAGGGGCCAGCCCUGAUGACAGCACCACCUUCUUCCAGGGCCUGUACUGUGUCUCUGUCAACUGCAUGGACAACGCAGAAGCCCAGUUCACCACAGCCCUGCGGCUCACCAACCACCAGGAGCUGUGGGCCUUCAUCGUCACCAACCUGGCGAGUGUGUAUAUACGGGAAGGAAAUAGACACCAAGAGCUCUACAGUCUGCUGGAGAGGAUCAACCCGGACCACAGCUUCCCUGUCAGCUCGCACUGCCUCCGAGCAGCCGCCUUCUAUGUGCGUGGGCUCUUCUCCUUCUUCCAGGGACGCUACAACGAGGCCAAGCGAUUUCUGCGGGAAACUCUGAAGAUGUCCAAUGCUGAGGACCUGAACCGGCUCACAGCCUGCUCCCUCGUGCUCCUGGGCCACAUCUUCUAUGUGCUGGGAAACCACAGGGAGAGUAACAACAUGGUGGUGCCUGCCAUGCAGCUCGCCAGCAAGAUCCCGGACAUGUCGGUACAGCUGUGGUCGUCAGCACUGCUGAGAGACCUGAAUAAAGCCUGUGGGAACGCCAUGGAUGCCCAUGAAGCCGCCCAGAUGCACCAGAACUUCUCGCAGCAGCUGCUCCAGGACCACAUUGAGGCCUGCAGCCUCCCCGAACACAACCUCAUCACGUGGACAGACGGUCCACCCCCCGUGCAGUUCCAAGCUCAGAAUGGACCCAACACCAGCCUGGCCAGCCUCCUGUGAGGCCUUGAUGGGGCCAUCCAGCUCCGCAGAGCCUGCGCGUCUCCGGCUUCCACCCAGACGGCACUCAAGCCUGCCCCCGAGGCGUGCUUCCUUCCUGAUUGUCUCUAGAGCUUCCAAGUCCUGGGAAUGUGCGGGGCCAGUCCCUGCCCUCCCAGGAGGGGUGGUAGCCGUUCCCACCUCGCACCAGGACCCCCAGUGCAGAGGCUCACAGGUGGCACACAGGCGCUGUCUCUCCAGAGCCAUCCUUCAGAGUGGACCUCAGUGCCAGUCCUGCCUCAGCAUCUGGGUCACGUCGGCCAAGAGUAGGGUGCAGGCCUCCAGCAGGUCCUAAUCCUGUGUGCCAGGGCAGGCAGUGCCCCAGGGGCACCACGCCUGACUCUCCAUCACCCAGGCCUUGAUGCCGAGCGGGAGUAGAGUGUUUCCUCUGCUCAAGGCAAUUUCCAGAGCCCGGAUGCCAGUUUCUGGCCUGAAUUUGGAGGGAAGAAGUAAUGGCCCUAGUGUGGGACGAAGCACAGAUCCCAGCACUUUUCCCAGCUUUCUCUCCAGCAUCGGUCCCUGCAGCAGCUGGGGCCUCUGGUCAGGAACCCUCAGGGACCCAGGAACUCAGCUUCCAAACAUCUGCACCUUGACCGGACUCGCCAUCCCACUGUGGGGGUGCAGGUGAUUGUAAACACGGGUCUGCAUGUGGAUGCACACGGGUGUGCGGUGAAGAUCUGUGGAGAUGGAGCUGGGAGCUGAGGCUCCUGUUGCACCAGCCACCUUCCCCCAUCUUGUGGCUGCUGAGGGGCAGGAAGCGGGGGAGUGGGCUUGUCUCCUAAAUUUAAGAUCACCUCCUCAGCUAGCUUAGAGUGCAUGGCACGGGCCCCCCGCCCCCGAGAUCUGGAGCCCAGGGACUUUCUUCCUGGCAGAUCUGUGGCCUUCCCUGCUCAGCCUCUUGGUCCCCCCACUCCCUCCACCGCCUCACUUUCCCUGCUGGGUCUCUGGGGCACAGUGUGAAACCCGCACCCUAGCCAGGCCCCAGGGAGCCUCCGCUGGGCCCAGACAGCAGCGUUUGGUUUUAUCCACUUUUCUUGGAUAAUCAGGAGGUGCCCCAGUGGUCACAGUGUGGCAUUCCGAGUUGGCGCGGGUGGUCGGGUCAAGAUAGCAGCAGCAGGUGUCAGGGCUCAAGACACCACCCCCUCCAGCUUCUGGGGCCCAGGAGCCUCUCCCUGCUACAGGGGGUGGGGCUCCUGCUCAGCAGGGUAGGUGGUGGUUUUAGGUCUUGUCACCCUCGCUCAGUGGAACUGCCUCUGGGAGCUUUGGCGUCUGUGACUAAAGGGACGCUGGAUUGCUCAGGUCAGCUGCUCAGGGCUCCCAGGCUGGGUGUGCCUUAGCCACAGGCAGGGCUGUCAAUAACCCCCUUCCUCACUGGCCACCACCUGACAUCAGCACCAGUGACAGGCUGGUCAGAGGGCGGGGCUGGUGAGGGUUUGUCCUAAGAGGACCACUGCCAUCUCUGGGUCUCCAGGGGGAGAGCCUGGCCCUGUCCUUUGCUACCCAGGGCUGCCCCCAGGCCCAUGAAGCCAGUAGGAGAGCGUGUGGCACUGGCCCACAAAGUGUCCCUGUCCUGUCUUCCUCCCGAGCCAUGGCCUCUGCUAGCUCCACCUUGAAGGAGCCCCCCACAUCCUCCCCUACAUCCCAGAGAUGCCACCACUUGUGUCUCCACAAUGUGCUCCUGCCCAUCCGGGUUCCGCACUGUCCGACCCCUGCACACCACUCAUGUCACCAUGGCGUGCAUCAUGUUCAUCCCCAUCUAUUUAUUUAAGCCUUUCUUUGCUUGUAGGGCAUUUUGUAUGUAGAGCAGUUGAAAACAGAACCUCAGAACUUAACAUCUGUCCUGAUGUUAAAGUGCUUUUCAUGACCACCCUGUUAUCUAUGUAUAUGUAAAGUUAAGGAUGAGAUCUUAAGUUUACAAUUAAAAACUCAGUACUCAAUAUUUAAUAUUCUACUCGAGCUUUAUGGAAGCCAAAUCAUGUGCAUGUGUGUGUGUGCGUGUGUGCAAGCUUUGAACCUCCUUCCACAGCCGCAUCUUCUCAUGACACAAAGCUUUUGAUAAGUACUUUCCUGUGGGUCGCUCAGCGCCUCAUAGCAUCUCAUUCAAUUGCAAGAAUAGAGGCCAGACACGGUGGCGCAUGCCUGUAGUCCCAGCUAACUGGGAGGCUGAGGCAGGAGGAUCACUUGAGCCCAGGAGAUUGAGGCUGCAGUGAGCAUGAUCGCGACACUGCACUCCAGCCUGGGUGACAGUGAGACUUUGUCUC